UGGGGAAUUUUGGACAAUGGGCGAAAGCCUGAUCCAGCAAUGCCGCGUGUGUGAAGAAGGCCUUCGGGUUGUAAAGCACUUUUGUCCGGAAAGAAAUCCUUGGCUCUAAUACAGUCGGGGGAUGACGGUACCGGAAGAAUAAGCACCGGCUAACUACGUGCCAGCAGCCGCGGUAAUACGUAGGGUGCAAGCGUUAAUCGGAAUUACUGAGCGUAAAGCGUGCGCAGGCGGUUUGCUAAGACCGAUGUGAAAUCCCCGGGCUCAACCUGGGAACUGCAUUGGUGACUGGCAGGCUAGAGUAUGGCAGAGGGGGGUAGAAUUCCACGUGUAGCAGUGAAAUGCGUAGAGAUGUGGAGGAAUACCGAUGGCGAAGGCAGCCCCCUGGGCCAAUACUGACGCUCAUGCACGAAAGCGUGGGGGAGCAAACAGGAUUAGAUACCCCUGGUAGUCCACGCCCUAAACGAUGUCAACUAGUUGUUGGGGAUUCAUUUCCUUAGUAACGUAGCUAACGCGUGAAGUUGACCGCCUGGGGAGUACGGUCGCAAGAUUAAAACUCAAAGGAAUUGACGGGG
rnacentral:rRNA from 1 species